rnacentral:rRNA from 1 species
UACGUAGGGGGCAAGCGUUGUCCGGAAUCAUUGGGCGUAAAGCGCGUGUAGGCGGCUCGAUAAGUCCGCUGUGAAAGUUCAGGGCUCAACCCUGAAAUGCCGGUGGAAACUGUCGGGCUAGAGUCCGGAAGAGGCGAGUGGAAUUCCUGGUGUAGCGGUGAAAUGCGCAGAUAUCAGGAGGAACACCAAUGGCGAAGGCAGCUCGCUGGGACGGUACUGACGCUGAGACGCGAAAGCGUGGGGAGCAAACAGG